UGACCUCGAAUCAGAUGAGAAUACCCGCUGAACUUAAGCAUAUCAUAAGCGGAGGA
rnacentral:rRNA from 1 species